rnacentral:rRNA from 1 species
ACAAACCAACAGGGAUUGCCCUAGUAACGGCGAGUGAAGCGGCAACAGCUCAAAUUUGAAAUCUGGCCCCCCGGCCCGAGUUGUAAUUUGUAGAGGAUGCUUCUGGGUAGCGACCGGUCUAAGUUCCUUGGAACAGGACGUCAUAGAGGGUGAGAAUCCCGUAUGCGACCGGCCCGCGCCCUCCACGUAGCUCCUUCGACGAGUCGAGUUGUUUGGGAAUGCAGCUCUAAAUGGGAGGUAAAUUUCUUCUAAAGCUAAAUACCGGCCAGAGACCGAUAGCGCACAAGUAGAGUGAUCGAAAGAUGAAAAGCACUUUGGAAAGAGAGUUAAAAAGCACGUGAAAUUGUUGAAAGGGAAGCGCUUACAACCAGACUUUGGGGCGGUGUUCCGCCGGUCUUCUGACCGGUCUACUCUCCGUCCCGAGGCCAACAUCAUCUGGGACCGCCGGACAAGACCUCAGGAAUGUAGCUCCCCCUCGGGGGAGUGUUAUAGCCUGUGGUGAUGCGGCGCGUCCCGGGUGAGGUCCGCGCUUCGGCAAGGAUGUUGGCGUAAUGGUUGUCAGCGGCCCGUCUUGAAACACGGACCAAGGAGUCUAACAUCUAUGCGAGUGUUCGGGUGUCAAACCCCUACGCGGAAUGAAAGUGAACGGAGGUGGGGAAGGGGCAACCCUGCACCAUCGACCGAUCCUGAUGUCCUCGGAUGGAUUUGAGUAAGAGCAUAGCUGUUGGGACCCGAAAGAUGGUGAACUAUGCCUGAAUAAGGGUGAAGCCAGAGGAAACU